AAAGUGCGAUAAGCAAUGCGAAUUGCAGAAUUCCGCGAAUCAUCAGAUCCUUGAACGCAACUGGCGCUAGGGGGAUCUCCCCCUAGCAUGUCUGUUUCAGUGUCUGCAAACAUCACAUAUACCUUAAUGUGGUUGACAAAGUUAGUGCCGAAAUUGGUGGUAUCUUAUCAUCUCUAUCACACUAUACCUAGUCUUCCAUGAAAGAUGUGUCUGUGGGGUCUUUGAGCUCCUCAUCGCAUUUUGGUCACUGAUUCCAGUGAUUCCGAUCGAGGAGUAACUCAAUUAUCCGUAUAUACAGACAGGAACUCACAUUUAGGUAGCUAAUAACUAUCUAGAUUAUCUUCAAACUCUGCAUCUGAAAUCAGGCAAGAUCACCCGCUGAACUUAA
rnacentral:misc_RNA from 1 species